CCGAGUUAUACAACUCAUCAACCCUGUGAACAUACCUAAACGUUGCCUCGGCGGGAACAGACGGCCCCGUGAAAACGGGCCGCCCCCGCCAGAGGACCCCCUAACUCUGUUUCUAUAAUGUUUCUUCUGAGUAAAACAAGCAAAUAAAUUAAAACUUUCAACAACGGAUCUCUUGGCUCUGGCAUCGAUGAAGAACGCAGCGAAAUGCGAUAAGUAAUGUGAAUUGCAGAAUUCAGUGAAUCAUCGAAUCUUUGAACGCACAUUGCGCCCGCCAGUAUUCUGGCGGGCAUGCCUGUUCGAGCGUCAUUACAACCCUCAGGCCCCCGGGCCUGGCGUUGGGGAUCGGCGGAGGCCCUCCGUGGGCACACGCCGUCCCCCAAAUACAGUGGCGGUCCCGCCGCAGCUUCCAUCGCGUAGUAGCUAACACCUCGCGACUGGAGAGCGGCGCGGCCACGCCGUAAAACCCCCAACUCUUCUGAAGUUGACCUCGAAUCAGGUAGGAAUACCCGCUGAACUUAAGCAUAUCAAUAAGCGGAGGAAAAGAAACCAACAGGGAUUGCCCCAGUAACGGCGAGUGAAGCGGCAACAGCUCAAAUUUGAAAUCUGGCUCUCGGGCCCGAGUUGUAAUUUGUAGAGGAUGCUUUUGGUGAGGUGCCUUCCGAGUUCCCUGGAACGGGACGCCAUAGAGGGUGAGAGCCCCGUCUGGUUGGACGCCGAACCUCUGUAAAGCUCCUUCGACGAGUCGAGUAGUUUGGGAAUGCUGCUCUAAAUGGGAGGUAUAUGUCUUCUAAAGCUAAAUACCGGCCAGAGACCGAUAGCGCACAAGUAGAGUGAUCGAAAGAUGAAAAGAACUUUGAAAAGAGAGUUAAAAAGUACGUGAAAUUGUUGAAAGGGAAGCGCUUGUGACCAGACUUGGGCUUGGUUGAUCAUCCGGGGUUCUCCCCGGUGCACUCUUCCGGCCCAGGCCAGCAUCAGUUCGCCCUGGGGGACAAAGGCUUCGGGAACGUGGCUCUCUCCGGGGAGUGUUAU
rnacentral:rRNA from 1 species